AACCUAUUAGCUCAAAUGGUAGAGCAAUGUGCAAUUGCACAUGGAUGUAUGUUGGUUCAAAUCCUACAUAGGUCA
rnacentral:tRNA from 1 species